AUCUCGACCAGUCCUCACAUUCUUCAUCCUCCCCUGCACAUUUUAACGAGAGGGGGGCAAGACUCCUGUCACUGGAACCUUUCAAUGUUGACUGCUGUAAAUGCCUGCUGAGGAAUCACUGGAAGGCUUGGCUGCCAGAUCACCCUGCUCAAGUGACAGAACAACUCCAGGAAAGUCGGAGGAAGCUGCAAACAUGCCUAAAAAGAUCUGACCUCUUCCUAUCACUCCGUCAGGCAUGUCUGAGCRAGGAAGCUUUAAAGCUCUGACUGAUUCARGAACGGCCGGUUUGACCAGAGGAGGCGACGGACCCGUUUUCUCUUCCUCGGUUUUGAUUGU